rnacentral:rRNA from 1 species
GAUCCUGCCAGUAGUCAUAUGCUUGUCUCAAAGAUUAAGCCAUGCAUGUCUCAGUACAAGCCAAAUUAAGGUGAAACCGCGAAAGGCUCAUUAAAUCAGUUAUGGUUCCUUAGAUCGUACCCACAUUUACUUGGAUAACUGUGGUAAUUCUAGAGCUAAUACAUGCAAACAGAGCUCCGACCGGAGACGGAAGGAGUGCUUUUAUUAGAUCAAAACCAAUCGGCGGCAGUAGCGUUUCGGCGUUACUGUUCGUCGCACUUUUUGGUGACUCUGAAUAACUUUUUGCUGAUCGCACGGUCUCGCACCGGCGACGCAUCUUUCAAAUGUCUGCCUUAUCAACUGUCGAUGGUAGGUUCUGCGCCUACCAUGGUUGUAACGGGUAACGGGGAAUCAGGGUUCGAUUCCGGAGAGGGAGCCUGAGAAACGGCUACCACAUCCAAGGAAGGCAGCAGGCGCGCAAAUUACCCACUCCCGGCACGGGGAGGUAGUGACGAAAAAU